rnacentral:lncRNA from 1 species
CACGUCCACCUUCUGCUGAUGAAAGGAGUUUUUUCUAGUUAAUUCACUGAGAAAGUCGAAAAGUGAACACAUUCUCAGUUCCCAUCAUCAACAUCAAAAAGAGGAAUAUAACUCUCUCCUAAGCAGGAGCGAUAAACAAGCAUCAACCCUCUCUCAAACAAAGGUCAACCCAAACCCCCAAACUUUCCCCAAAAAGAAAUGCAGCAACAACCAACCCCCACCCCCACCCCCACCUCCGAUUCCGAUCUCCCCCGCCUCGCUAACAUCAAAAUCAAAUCCUCUUCCCCCCGUUUCCCACCUCCCACCACCCCUUCCACCACCGAUACCCCCACCGCUGGUGCUCAACGCAAGAUCGGCAUCGCCGUCGAUCUAAGCGACGAGUCCGCUUUCGCCGUUAAGUGGGCCGUCCAUCAGUACCUCCGUCCAGGUGACGCCGUCAUCCUUCUCCACGUCCGUCCCACUUCCGUCCUCUACGGCGCCGAUUGGGGCUCCGUUGAUCUCUCCAUCGUCGAUACCGAAAACGAAGAGUCUCAGCGAAAACUCGAGGAUGAUUUCGACACGUUUACUACUACUAAAGUCUCGGACAUAUCUCAGCCGUUAGUUGAUGCUCAGAUUCCGUUCAAAAUCCACAUCGUUAAGGAUCACGAUAUGAGGGAAAGGCUAUGUCUCGAGGUGGAGAGGCUAGGGCUUAGCGCUGUAAUUAUGGGUAGCCGAGGUUUUGGGGCUACUAAGAGAGGAAGCGAUGGAAGACUGGGAAGUGUUAGUGAUUAUUGUGUGAGGCACUGUGUUUGUCCUGUUGUGGUUGUUAGGUACCCGGAUGAUAAGGAUAGUGGUGCAAAUGCAGUUUCUGAGCCCGUGGUUUCUGUUGCAUCAGCUGCUGAAGAAGAUGAGGAGGAAGCUGAGU